rnacentral:rRNA from 1 species
AUCUGGAUCGGGGACCGUGCAUGGUAGGCAGUUUGACUGGGGCGGUCUCCUCCCAAAGUGUAACGGAGGAGUUCGAAGGUUACCUAGGUACGGUCGGACAUCGUACUGAUAGUGCAAUGGCAAAAGGUAGCUUGACUGCGAGACCGACAAGUCGAGCAGGUGCGAAAGCAGGACAUAGUGAUCCGGUGGUUCUGAAUGGAAGGGCCAUCGCUCAACGGAUAAAAGGUACUCCGGGGAUAACAGGCUGAUUCCGCCCAAGAGUUCAUAUCGACGGCGGAGUUUGGCACCUCGAUGUCGGCUCAUCACAUCCUGGGGCUGUAGCCGGUCCCAAGGGUAUGGCUGUUCGCCAUUUAAAGUGGUACGUGAGCUGGGUUUAAAACGUCGUGAGACAGUUUGGUCCCUAUCUGCAGUGGGCGUUGGAAGUUUGAGGGGGGCUGCUCCUAGUACGAGAGGACCGGAGUGGACGCAUCUCUGGUGUACCGGUUGUGACGCCAGUCGCAUCGCCGGGUAGCUAUAUGCGGAAGAGAUAAACGCUGAAAGCAUCUAAGCGUGAAACUCGCCUCAAGAUGAGACUUCCCUGGAGACUUGAUCUCCCUGAAGGGCCGUGGAAGACCACCACGUUGAUAGGUCGGGUGUGGAAGCGCAGUAAUGCGUUAAGCUAACCGAUACUAAUUACCCGUGAGGCUUGAUCCU